rnacentral:lncRNA from 1 species
AAGAUGAUAAUGGACCUUAGAAAGUAGAAAUCCAAUCUCAUAUAUAUUAAAACAAUUAACAAAUUAUUAGUGAAUGAUCACAAAAAAUGUAUAGAAAAGUAAUUCAAUUCCUUAACUUCAAAAGGGGAAAGAUAAAGAAAAAACAGGUUCUAAGUUCUGAGUUCUUAUCAUACUGAAAAUUAUGAUAUUGUUUUUAACAUGAACUUGGGUUGAUUUCCAUCACCCGAAAAUUCCAAAAACAUAUAAAUAGAAAACUGAGAAGUAGCACAUACCAGUUUUGUACAUUACAUUUCAGCACACAUUCAUGCGAAGGACUUAGAACUGAAGAAAGACACAUGAAACCAAAAUAAACACCUGUAGUCCUGAUGGAAAUGGAACAUGAGGAUAACCUACACCUGAGAAAUGAACUGAGAAGUUGAAUUAUGCUGAAAAAAAAAUAGAUGCUUUAAGAAGAUUCAUUAUCUUUGCUGAAACCACAAAAGAUGAAAUUAGAGGAUCUUGCAUUUGGAAUUCACCUGAUUGAGCACUAAGCUCCAACAAUUGGCUCUGAGUAAGUGAAAGGAUGAUAAAUUAAGAUACGCUAUAGAGGUCAGGUGCAUAAUUACCAUGAUAUCAGUUGAAUCUAAGAAGAAACACAUAAACAUUAGUUCCGUCCAAUUUGCACAAAAAUUGAAAAACCAAAUAAGCAAAUACAAUUUUUAUUUGAGAUAUGAAAACAUAUUACAGCAAAGACCAAAAAGAAGGCACAACCAAGUUUAAUAACCUAAAAUCCAUCAACCCUAAACCUUAAUUCCGUCAAAAUACCCAUAAUACCUGCAAAGAAACUAUUUGCAUGAUUCACAACCAAAAAGAGUGUAAAUACACCAAUUUUUGCUCUUAAAUUCAAAAGAGGAGAAAAUUAGGAUUAGAGUUUCACGAUUUUUACCCAAAUUUGGCUACGUACAAACCUACCCAUAGCCAUUCUAGUUUGUACAGCCUCAAGUCAUCAUCACCCCAAAGAAUGUUAAACAUGUAAAAUGGAAAUGAAUCAAUUCCCUAAAAUUUUGAAACUGGGGAUAUUCCGAAUAUGGACAAAAACCUAGAAUAUCUUACCUUCUUGUGUAUAGCACGUCCUCCAGAAUCCACAGCUGAAAACAGAAUGAAGUUCAGAGUAUGAUGAAGAAGAAGAAGAAAUGGAAUUGUCCAUAUGAAAAAAAAUGAGAGAACUAAGAGGGUGAAAGCAAACAUACCCAAUUGCAAUCCAAUGAUUUAGCCUGGAAAAACAUUUCAUAAGGACAAAAAAAAGUGAAAUUAAAAACCCUAUUGAAUCAAAUGAAGAAUUUUUUAGAGUGCAAAUAGUUAGUAUUAUCAGCAAGAAGAAACUUGAUACCCUAAAAUGCAAAAGUAUGUGCCUAUAAUGCAAUCCGACAAAACAUGGACAGCAGCUAUCAGAGAAUUGAAAAUUUACUAAUAAAAUGAACCAAAGACCAAUUUUGAAUAAUCAGGAAUGAUGACGUUUUAACAUUGACAUAGUGUGUUUGUAUGUGAGAGAGAGAUGGAAAUAGAGUUAGAGUUAGAUUUAGACAAAUGCAGAAAUCAAC